rnacentral:rRNA from 1 species
GCUGAUGCUUCUUCGCUUGAUGCCGAAGAAAAGGAUGAUCAUAUUAAGAUCCCCAAGAACAACAGAUCCUGUUGCAGUUUACUUGGCCCGAUGCCUGGUGUGCUCACUUUCGUCUUGCCAAGGUUCCGUCUUCCUCCUUCGGCAUUCUUUUCUUUUGCUCAUUUCAUAUGUAGUAUUUUACUGAACUGUGUGUGUUUCGUGCUUGUGUCCUUUCUUCCUUGUUAGUGUUACUUAUUGUUGCCUGUUGACUUUAUACCUUGUGUGCCGCUUAUCAUUGUCUCAUUGUUUAGUUUUUGUUCUGCCAGAAAAGGGUACAUCUAUAUAAUGAAUAUAUGUUGAUUCUACAAAGCGACAUGUAUUUUGAUAUGUGUUCAAGGAAAAAUGCCGAAUCUACCUAUUCUUAUCCAUCCAGAGGUUGUGAUAUACUUUGUCAACCAAUGGAUUAUUACAAAUUUGACCUUCUCAAUAUGGUGUUCAUUUCCAUGUGCAGAAAUAGAUUGUAUCAUGCUUUGUUACAGAUUCUGUAGGUCUGCUCUCUACCAAGAACCUGCAGAUUUCAAUAUUGCUAUGUGCAUAUAAGCUUCAUUAAUUUGUUGGGCAUUAACCUCAGUCACAUAUUAAACAUGGAUGGUAGUGAUUUCUUUUUAAAAGCAUUUAUCAUUUCGAAAUUACGUCCUUCAUAGCUUGAUUAAAGGUCUAGAUAAGUAAGGUUUAUCUCUACACUAUCUUCUGCCUGUUAUAUUUUCCCUAUAAACCUCACCCUACCCGCUAUUCUGGGGCAUCCGCGGCGCAUGCAUGAUUUCGCUUGAACGAUUCACGGAGCCUGCGCUUGGGUGUGAUGCACGGGAGGCUGCGCUUCGCCUCUUCCUCGCUCAGCAAUAGGAGCAUUUGCAGCGGGGUGGUGCGGCCCAGGGACAGAAGUUGCUAAAGAAAGCUCCGACAUUAUAAUCUUAGAUGAUGACUUCAUAUCUAUUGUGAAGGGUCAUUGGAAUGGACCAAGUUAUGAAUGUUCGUGAAAUGCGAUACUAGAAUCUUUGAAGCGGGUGCUAUCAAGAUCAUGCCAAAGGCAGAGCGUGCCAAAGGUGAUGCUCAUCCCCGUUCUUAGUGAGAUGCGUUUACUCGAUGCAAAGUAUGAGCAUUGCAGACUCUGGCGAGCUGUUGAAGGUCGACGAGGAGGGCGCCGCCACCACCGUCAUCAGGCUGGUCCACAUCCACACGCUGCUCGGCGUCACUAGGUCACCGGCACAACUCCUCACGCCCAGGUCGUUCAACAUUUUCUUUCGCUUUUGGUGCGUCACAUUUAGAGUCUUUCUUUCCCAUUUUACCGUGUUUGCAUGGUAAGAUGUUUGGUUGGAUUUGAAGGUUCGUAGACUUGGCUCCAAAGCUUCAAGCUCUUGUAGAAAUUAGAAGUGAGGGCCUUUUAAAAUGAGUCCUGCAUAAUAAUGUUGUUCAGUGGGAUGCAUAAUUUUUGUUUGUAUUGAUUUACGUACUGAUUUCAUCAUCAUAUGAAUACAAUGAAGAAG